rnacentral:lncRNA from 13 species
CAGAGAGAGCCCCCAGAACAUUCCACAGGGGUUGGGCAGGCCCGGCGCAGGGCCUGCCUAUUGCCUGCAAGAGAAAUCCUGCCACGGAACCUGGGCUUCUCUGAUCUGCCAAACUUUGUGUCUCAUUUAGCUUUCUUUGUGUCACAAAGAAGCUGCGGAGUCUGAGGAUUUAGCAAAGGCCUCAGAGAAUACUUGCAUUGGAGGAAAAUACUCAACAUCAUACAAUUUACAUUUUUCUGUGAGGAUCAUACACGUAGGCCACGGAAAGGACACACGCUGAAAUGUGUCGUUGCACACCAGCCCGGAAACGCCGCUCCGAGUCACGCUUCAGGCCCCGGCAUCUGCGCUCCAGAGCAAACGCUACAAGUUUUCCAGUCCAGGCUCCUGCCUCACUCCAGCUGGUGGGCAUCACAUAGAGCUGGGGAAGCGGUUCCAGUCCCACCCAAUCCACGCACCCCAUCACCUGAAUAAGACAGAGCAACAUAUACAGAGAAACAGGAUGGCUCACCCUGCUGGGGUAGAGUUGUGUCUGUCUCCAUUUUGGAUGUGAUGUGGCUUCAUGGAUAGGCAUGCUGUACCCAGAGUAGGGGAGGUCACAGUCCUGUUCUGUGGGAGAAGGCGGAUCCCAGUAAGAACUGCAUGAUCAUGGCACCAGAUGGCCUGGGUUCUGCUAAAGCCUAAAGCUACCUCCUUACAUGUUUUAAGUUCAGCCUAAAGAUUUCUCUGUAUGUAGUGAAUUAUAACCUAAAUGGAGGUUUAAACAAACUGUAACCUACGCUUGUGCCAAUCACCAAGUUCUGACCAAUCACAGGCAUCCAAUAGUUCAAACAGUAUUCAAAUAAAGCAAAGGCUGAGCUGUAACCCA